rnacentral:misc_RNA from 1 species
AUUUUGUCUCUCUCCUGGAUUGGGUAAGAUCUCUAGCAUUUCCCUUUGAGUUUUGAUGCAUGCAAUAAAAGCCAUACUCAAUGCACCAUACUGUUGAAUACCAUUCAGAUAUUUCACGCUUAGUUUAGCUUUGCAUUUUCCCUGUAUUGACAUUGCAUGCCAUAUCACAGAUUGGCACUUAUGCUUAGCAAGAAUAAAUUUAAUCUGAACUGCAAAAGGAAAUGUGGAAAGAAUCUCUUUUAUUAUUAUACUUUUACUUUUUUUCUGUACAAUUUCUCUUCUCUGUGGUUAUUUCAGGCUCUCUUUUUGCAACAAAGGG